GUGGGGAAUCUUGCGCAAUGGGCGAAAGCCUGACGCAGCCAUGUCGCGUGAAUGAUGAAGGUCUUAGGAUUGUAAAAUUCUUUCACCGGGGACGAUAAUGACGGUACCCGGAGAAGAAGCCCCGGCUAACUUCGUGCCAGCAGCCGCGGUAAUACGAAGGGGGCUAGCGUUGCUCGGAAUUACUGGGCGUAAAGGGCGCGUAGGCGGACAGUUUAGUCAGAGGUGAAAGCCCAGGGCUCAACCUUGGAAUUGCCUUUGAUACUGGCUGUCUUGAGUACGGGAGAGGUGAGUGGAACUCCGAGUGUAGAGGUGAAAUUCGUAGAUAUUCGGAAGAACACCAGUGGCGAAGGCGACUCACUGGCCCGUUACUGACGCUGAGGCGCGAAAGCGUGGGGAGCAAACAGGAUUAGAAACCCGAGUAGUCC
rnacentral:rRNA from 1 species